rnacentral:rRNA from 1 species
UACGUAGGUGGCGAGCGUUGUCUGGAAUUACUGGGCGUAAAGGGCGCGUAGGCGGUUUUUUAAGUUAGAUGUGAAAACCCAGGGCUUAACUUUGGGCGUGCAUUUAAAACUGGAGAGCUUGAGUGCAGGAGAGGUAAGUGGAAUUCCUAGUGUAGCGGUGAAAUGCGUAGAUAUUAGGAGGAACACCAGUGGCGAAGGCGACUUACUGGACUGUAACUGACGCUGAGGCGCGAAAGCGUGGGGAGCAAACAGGAUUAGAUACCCUGGUAGUCCCUGAG